rnacentral:rRNA from 1 species
CCUACGGGUGGCAGCAGUGAGGAAUAUUGGGCAAUGGACGAGAGUCUGAACCAGCCAAGUAGCGUGAAGGAUGACGGCCCUAUGGGUGGUAAACUUCGUUUAUAGGGGAAUAAAAUGUUGCACGUGUGGGGUUUUGUAUGUACCAUAUGAAUAAGGAUCGGCUAACUCCGUGCCAGCAGCCGCGGUAAGACGGAGGGUCCGGGCGUUAUGCGGAUUGAAUGGGUUUAAAGGGCGCGUAGGUGGAUUGUUAAGUCAGUUGUGAAAGUUUGCGGCUCACCCGUACAAUUGCAGUUGAAACUGCCAGUCUUGAGUACAGUAGAGGUGGGCGGAAUUCGUGGUGUAGCGGUGAAAUCCUUAGAUAUCACGAAGAACUUCGAUUGCGAAGGCAGCCCCCUGGACUGCAACUGACACUGAGGCUCGAAAGUGUGGGUAUCAAACAGGAUUAGAUACCCCAGUAGUC